CCGGCAUCGGGAAGAGGGAAAAGGAGCAAUCCGCUUUGAGAUGGCCUCGCGUCCGAUUAGCUAGUUGGUGAGGUAACGGCCCACCAAGGCGACGAUCGGUAGCCGGACUGAGAGGUUGAACGGCCACAUUGGGACUGAGACACGGCCCAGACUCCUACGGGAGGCAGCAGUGGGGAAUAUUGCACAAUGGGGGAAACCCUGAUGCAGCGACGCCGCGUGGAGGAAGAAGGUCUUCGGAUUGUAAACUCCUGUUGUUGAGGAAGAUAAUGACGGUACUCAACAAGGAAGUGACGGCUAACUACGUGCCAGCAGCCGCGGUAAAACGUAGGUCACGAGCGUUGUCCGGAAUUACUGGGUGUAAAGGGAGCGCAGGCGGGCGAUCAAGUUGGAAGUGAAAUCCAUGGGCUCAACCCAUGAACUGCUUUCAAAACUGGUCGUCUUGAGUAGUGCAGAGGUAGGCGGAGUUCCCGGUGUAGCGGUGGAAUGCGUAGAUAUCGGGAGGAACACCAGUGGCGAAGGCGGCCUACUGGGCACCAACUGACGCUGAGGCUCGAAAGUGUGGGUAGCAAACAGGAUUAGAUACCCUGGUAGUCCACACCGUA
rnacentral:rRNA from 1 species